AGUCGUCCAGAGCUUGAUAGCAGGACUUCCGGUUCCCAAGUGCCAGCUUUAGAAUGCUUCAUGUGCGGGAAAGAAUGCUGAAAGUAAAUAAUAAGAACCAAUAUAAAAACACAAAAACUAAAAAUAGAUUCUAGAAGAUGCCACUCUCACCCCAUAUGUGGAAGAUUCCAAGAACUGCAAAAAAGAAUUGGAAGUGAAGACUGGUUGGAGAUCUCCUUCCCUCUCUCUUAUAUAUGCAAUGGUUGCUUUGAGGAUAACAUAGGAGGAGGAAGAGAGAACACAGUGAACUUCUUACAUAAAGGUUACCACCAGAUCAAAAAAGCUAUUGCUUCCUGAAUAAAAUCUAUUUGAUUUGCAUGGGACACUGAGCAUUAGUAUGGAAAAAGCAGGCUCUACUACACAAAUAGGUUGAAUUUACACAGUGGUUGCACGGAAGGAAAUAUACUUCUUCUGCACACCUGUGUCACCUUAGACACAAACGAUUUCAUCCUGUGCUGGUUUCUCCCUGACUGCCAGGUGUAUGCAAGGGAAGCAAUGUGAAGAAUACACCUUCAUCUUCAGCCUGCAAGGAGAUUGCGAACUGCCCAGGAACUUGUGUUUGGGGCAGUAUAAAAAUGUGUUAAAGAAAUAAAUAGCCUGAAUGGACCAACCUGAUCCUACCCUAAUGCAAUCAAAACAACUCCAGGCAAUGAUACACCCAGAGUCCUGUUUGUUUUGUGUCCCUACCAGGUUGUACUGCCUCACAGACCUGAGUACAUAGUAUUAGCAUGCUUUUUGUGAUUUUGGAAACUGAUCCAACUCCCCAGAGGAUAGUGUGAACCUGAAAACUUCCUCCAAAUUUAUUUAUUAUUUAAAAGAAGUAUAUGCUGCCAUUCUUCAUAUAUGAAUUCAUGGUGACUUACACUAAAAUUCAUUGAAAAAACACAACAACAAAACACAACACAAUAAAUCAAAUGGCCAGCAUAGGCUUCCAUCUCUUAUUAGCAACCUUAGUCUGAAUCCUUUUUCGACAGUUCUGCUGACAUAACACAGCUAUGGAAGGAAAAAACUGGAUUUUAUUCUGGCUCAGGUAUUAUAAAUAGGAUUGUUGUGUAUGUUCCAAAUGUAAUCUGUCACUCACUUGCAAGUGACAUUGAUGUCUAUGCCUGAAAUAAUACAACUUGACUUUCAAAUUCUUAAGUGAGUUUCUAUGGCUGUCAGAAAAAGAAUUUUCUUCCCUGUAAAUAGAGUAAAUUUCAAAUGUCAGCUACCCACACAGUUCAGAUGCUGCUGGCCCAGUAAUUUAACUCCGAAUGAGGAAGACAGGAGACAGACUCUCACAGAAUAAAAUUAAUAUUGUCCAUUUCUGAAUGGAUAAGAUAUUCUGUUAGGGAUUUUAUAAUUUGACAACAAUUUCACAGGACCAGAAUCCUUAGAACCAUGUACUACCUUUCCUUUGCAGAGUUAGGCUAAGCAUUUAUAAUAACCAGCAUCUCCAAUGCAGCAAACACUGGCUGAGCAAACAAAACAAACAAAUAUAUCUAACAACCAAAAGCAGAGAGUUUGGUAUUUUUUAACAAAACAGAAAUAGAAUUAAUUCAAGUACUUUGACUGAAGAGAUGCAAACUGUGAGUAAGUAGUAAAUAAUAAGUUUAUUAUUGUGACCACAUGCCAUAAUAUAACAUCACAUAGAAGAAAAUAAAGCAUAUUGAAAGGUUGCAUCAUUAGGUUGAGCUAAAACCUGUGCUACCUAUAAAUUUCUUUCUGAGUUUAAAAGAAAGCAUAGUGAAGGUGACAACUUGGCAGCUGACAUUAGGAAUUGCAUCUGCAAAAAGAUAGGUCAAAUGUUCUACAUCCAACCCCUUAAGGCAGGCCUGCUCAACUUUGCCCACCCAGCUGUUUUUGUACUACAACUCAAAUAAUCCCCAGCCACAGUGGCCAAUUGCCAGGAAUUAUGGAAGUGGUAGGCCGACGUCUGCAGGAGGGCCAAAGUUGAACAGGCCUGCCUUAAGGUGAUCUAUCAACAAUGUUUUGCCCCUAAACACUUUGUAAAUGGGGCAAUAAACAUAGUGGAUGAUGUCCUGCACUUGACCAGUGUCACAAGGAUAGAUGCACUGUUCCACUGGGAGUUUGUGAAUCUAAAAUAUGCUGACGGCAUAAUUUGGAAAUGGAAAGCUGUGAAAGCCUUCCUCAGUGGUGCACUGGUAAUAUUAACCAGAUAUUGCUAGGGUUGCCAUGUCUCCUGGAAUUUAGGGUAGCCCCCGGAUUUUGGCUUCUCCACUUGGCUGCUAAAUUCCACCUGGAAUUAUGCGGAUUUCAGAUGUGCUGCCUGGAUUGCCUGGAUUUUACUCUAGAUCUGAUCACAUGGGAGGGCAGAGAAGGAGGGGGAAGUAUACAGAUCUGUCAAAUAAAUUUUUAAAAUGCAAAUUAAUUGUUGCAUAAUUUGCAUAACAUGCAGAUUAGGCCACUUGGAUUUGGGAAGUUUGAAUAUGGCAACCCUAGAUACUGCUAAGUUUCUUAUAAUGGUGGUACCAGGAUGAGAACUUUGAAGAUUGUACCACAGCAGAUGCAAUCUGUGUGCAGAAACAGGUUUUUGCAAGUAGGUCUGCUUUACUAGGUGUGUUGCAGCUUUCUUAGUGGGAGAAGGGUAAGAUCAUAUACACAGAUCAUAUACACAGUAAUGGAGUAGUCUGUGCAUAAUACUGUGCUUUUGACUUUUGCAGUCAGCAAGAAGGGGCAAGAAAUAAGAAGUUGCUUGAAAGGGUCCAGCAAUUGCAGCUACAACUCUAUAGGCAAGUUGUGAGAAUCCCCCACCCUUAGGAUUUACAGUAAAACAUGAAUGCAGGAAAACCAAAUGGCUGGCUGAUCUAUACAAAAAUACUUUGCUUAAACAAUAUGAAGGACAAUAUCAUUUGGUAACAAUAUCCCCUAAAAGACCCCCUAAAAAUUACCCCAAAAAGCUGACAAUUUUAAUUAGGGGUCAGUGAAGCUUACAGUGAAGCAUAAUUAUGAAAUGGUAUAAACAAAAUUAACAUUAUUAAUCCUUUCUAAGGGCUUUUAUUUUUAAUAAAAACAAUAACAAAAACCCAAGAAGAGCAUCACGUCCUUAGAAAUAGAGGACUGACUUAACAGUGCAUAAAACAGGGUUUUAUGUCCCAACCCGGAACACAGAGGCAUUCAAGCCCCAUUGAAAGUAUAGAUAUUGUAUGCAUUUGUGUGUUUGCAGAACAAAAUCUUAACUUUUUAACAUAUACCACAUUGUUAUUAAAGACACUCUUUGCCUUCAAAAUUAUUCUGAAGCUGAAGAAUUAGUUGCCUCAUAAUUGUUUCUAGAUAAAAUUAAUUGUCCCAAGAAGUCAAUGAAACAUUCUUUUCCCAUUUUACAAGCAAGACUUUAUUAACUUUUAACUUCUGUAGUCAAAAACUUGCCUUAAAUGGGACAUUUCAUACGGUUCCUGAACUCUCAAACAUUAAAAGCUAUGAAUGGAAGAGAACUUGAAGAUUUUAUGUUAAAACACACACACACACACACACACACACACACACACCCUGUAGAUAUUUAAACUGCGAAGCAAAAGCAAACAAAAACAAUUGCAGUCAAUUCUUUCCAAAUAGUAAUCAUGUGUAAAAACCCCAAGCACUUUGAUCUCUAGGACUGGAUCCAGAGAGGGCUUGCUACCAGUUACUCCUUCCAUCUGCAGCCCCUCACCCCCUCAUUCUAUGUCAUUCCUGAGGGUUUCCCAACUUCAGUUUAACUGCAGAGGAGGUAAAGGAAGUUUCAUUGUACAGCAGGUAGAGAAAGGCAGGAAAGGCCCGUUCCACAAGCUGAACUCUGUUUGCAGUUCUUAGAAUCCAAUAUGUUUUACACUCACCAGCCUCAUUGGUAACUAUUUGGUAAGCUAGUCAUCCAUAUUGCCUUGCCAUUGCCAAGUAGUGAGGAAAAUCUCACCCCACUACUAUGUCUGAGCAGAAAUCGAGGGAAGUGGAAAUGUUUUUAGGAUUUUUUUUAAUACCUGGAAUGUCUUUCACCAUAUACAUCUUUUAUGAUGCUAUCAGAUGUGGAGCUAUGAUUAAUCUACCAAGCAGGAAAUUAUACAGACUGGAAAUGGCGUCAUACCAAGUUCACAGUUCUCUCAAACAUUUGUUGCUACUUGUUCGUUUUCUGUAUCAAAACUCUUGAAAAAAAAUAUCAGUACUUGAUUCUAAAUGAGUAGCUGUGUAGAUCUAUUAUAGCAAAAACAACAGAGAGUCUUGGGACACCUUAUAGAUAAAUACAUUUGUAGUCGCAUACGCUUUCAUGGGCUACUCUGUCCACUUCAGAAGAUGCAGGAAGUGUUAUCACAAUUAAGGUUUUUUUUGUCACAUUACAUAA